rnacentral:rRNA from 1 species
UACGUAGGGGGCUAGCGUUGUCCGGAAUCAUUGGGCGUAAAGAGCGUGUAGGCGGCCCGGUAAGUCCGCUGUAAAAGUCAAAGGCUCAACCUUUGAAUGUCAGUGGAUACUGCCGGGCUAGAGUCCGGAAGAGGCGAGUGGAACUCCUGGUGUAGCGGUGGAAUGCGCAGAUAUCAGGAAGAACACCAACGGCGAAGGCAGCUCGCUGGGACGGUACUGACGCUGAGACGCGAAAGCGUGGGGAGCGAACCGG